rnacentral:rRNA from 1 species
GACGUAGGGUGCGAGCGUUGUCCGGAGUUAUUGGGCGUAAAGAGCUCGUAGGCGGCUCGUCGCGUCGACCGUGAAAACCCGCGGCUUAACUGCGGGCUUGCGGUUGAUACGGGCGGGCUAGAGUUCGGUAGGGGAGACUGGAAUUCCUGGUGUAGCGGUGAAAUGCGCAGAUAUCAGGAGGAACACCGGUGGCGAAGGCGGGUCUCUGGGCCGAUACUGACGCUGAGGAGCGAAAGCGUGGGGAGCGAACAGG